rnacentral:misc_RNA from 1 species
AAAAUUCCUUUGAAGAUGACUUACUAAUAGAAUUCCCACAAAAACAAGAGUUACUUGAAAAAGAAGUGAAACCUAAAGUUAAAGAAAAUAACUCCUUUAUUGUCAAAAGGUCAUUAGAAGAGUUUUUACAUGAAAAUAGAUUAGAGGUGAAAGUGGUAGAUGAAGAAAUUGACAAAACUAUCAACUUGAGCUCAUUAACGAUGUUUACACAUACACCAUCAGAAAACUUUUUUCUAUCAUGGACAUCUCCUGCAUCAUCAUAUAUCCUCUAUGAGCUAAUGCAGCCCUCAUCCCAAGCAUAUCACUCUAAACCAUGUAUUGUUCACACAAUGUGCAAUCCUAUUUCAAAUCUUGCCAAUCUUGAGGGUAUCACAAAUCAAAACUCAUAUGUGGUGUUACAUGACAACCACUAUGAGCGAAAAUCACUUUUUGAUUAGUAAUUCUAAAAGGGGUCAAGCUAAU